ACACGGGGGGCGCAAGCGUUAUUCGGAAUUAUUGGGCGUAAAGGGCGCGUAGGCGGUCUUGUCGGUCAGAUGUGAAAGCCCAGGGCUCAACCCUGGACGUGCAUUUGAAACAGCAAGACUUGAGUACGGGAGAGGAAAGCGGAAUUCCUGGUGUAGAGGUGAAAUUCGUAGAUAUCAGGAGGAACACCGAUGGCGAAGGCAGCUUUCUGGACCGAUACUGACGCUGAGGCGCGAAGGCGUGGGUAGCGAACAGGAUUAGAAACCCGAGUAGUCC
rnacentral:rRNA from 1 species